UUAAGCGACUAAGCGUACACGGUGGAUGCCCUGGCAGUCAGAGGCGAUGAAGGACGUGCUAAUCUGCGAUAAGCGUCGGUAAGGUGAUAUGAACCGUUAUAACCGGCGAUUUCCGAAUGGGGAAACCCAGUGUGUUUCGACACACUAUCAUUAACUGAAUCCAUAGGUUAAUGAGGCGAACCGGGGGAACUGAAACAUCUAAGUACCCCGAGGAAAAGAAAUCAACCGAGAUUCCCCCAGUAGCGGCGAGCGAACGGGGAGNAGCCCAGAGCCUGAAUCAGUGUGUGUGUUAGUGGAAGCGUCUGGAAAGGCGCGCGAUACAGGGUGACAGCCCCGUACACAAAAAUGCACAUGCUGUGAGCUCGAUGAGUAGGGCGGGACACGUGGUAUCCUGUCUGAAUAUGGGGGGACCAUCCUCCAAGGCUAAAUACUCCUGACUGACCGAUAGUGAACCAGUACCGUGAGGGAAAGGCGAAAAGAACCCCGGCGAGGGGAGUGAAAAAGAACCUGAAACCGUGUACGUACAAGCAGUGGGAGCACGCUUAGGCGUGUGACUGCGUACCUUUUGUAUAAUGGGUCAGCGACUUAUAUUCUGUAGCAAGGUUAACCGAAUAGGGGAGCCGAAGGGAAACCGAGUCUUAACUGGGCGUUAAGUUGCAGGGUAUAGACCCGAAACCCGGUGAUCUAGCCAUGGGCAGGUUGAAGGUUGGGUAACACUAACUGGAGGACCGAACCGACUAAUGUUGAAAAAUUAGCGGAUGACUUGUGGCUGGGGGUGAAAGGCCAAUCAAACCGGGAGAUAGCUGGUUCUCCCCGAAAGCUAUUUAGGUAGCGCCUCGUGAAUUCAUCUCCGGGGGUAGAGCACUGUUUCGGCAAGGGGGUCAUCCCGACUUACCAACCCGAUGCAAACUGCGAAUACCGGAGAAUGUUAUCACGGGAGACACACGGCGGGUGCUAACGUCCGUCGUGAAGAGGGAAACAACCCAGACCGCCAGCUAAGGUCCCAAAGUCAUGGUUAAGUGGGAAACGAUGUGGGAAGGCCCAGACAGCCAGGAUGUUGGCUUAGAAGCAGCCAUCAUUUAAAGAAAGCGUAAUAGCUCACUGGUCGAGUCGGCCUGCGCGGAAGAUGUAACGGGGCUAAACCAUGCACCGAAGCUGCGGCAGCGACGCUUAUGCGUUGUUGGGUAGGGGAGCGUUCUGUAAGCCUGUGAAGGUGUGCUGUGAGGCAUGCUGGAGGUAUCAGAAGUGCGAAUGCUGACAUAAGUAACGAUAAAGCGGGUGAAAAGCCCGCUCGCCGGAAGACCAAGGGUUCCUGUCCAACGUUAAUCGGGGCAGGGUGAGUCGACCCCUAAGGCGAGGCCGAAAGGCGUAGUCGAUGGGAAACAGGUUAAUAUUCCUGUACUUGGUGUUACUGCGAAGGGGGGACGGAGAAGGCUAUGUUGGCCGGGCGACGGUUGUCCCGGUUUAAGCGUGUAGGCUGGUUUUCCAGGCAAAUCCGGAAAAUCAAGGCUGAGGCGUGAUGACGAGGCACUACGGUGCUGAAGCAACAAAUGCCCUGCUUCCAGGAAAAGCCUCUAAGCAUCAGGUAACAUCAAAUCGUACCCCAAACCGACACAGGUGGUCAGGUAGAGAAUACCAAGGCGCUUGAGAGAACUCGGGUGAAGGAACUAGGCAAAAUGGUGCCGUAACUUCGGGAGAAGGCACGCUGAUAUGUAGGUGAAGUCCCUUGCGGAUGGAGCUGAAAUCAGUCGAAGAUACCAGCUGGCUGCAACUGUUUAUUAAAAACACAGCACUGUGCAAACACGAAAGUGGACGUAUACGGUGUGACGCCUGCCCGGUGCCGGAAGGUUAAUUGAUGGGGUCAGCGCAAGCGAAGCUCUUGAUCGAAGCCCCGGUAAACGGCGGCCGUAACUAUAACGGUCCUAAGGUAGCGAAAUUCCUUGUCGGGUAAGUUCCGACCUGCACGAAUGGCGUAAUGAUGGCCAGGCUGUCUCCACCCGAGACUCAGUGAAAUUGAACUCGCUGUGAAGAUGCAGUGUACCCGCGGCAAGACGGAAAGACCCCGUGAACCUUUACUAUAGCUUGACACUGAACAUUGAGCCUUGAUGUGUAGGAUAGGUGGGAGGCUUGGAAGUGUGGACGCCAGUCUGCAUGGAGCCGACCUUGAAAUACCACCCUUUAAUGUUUGAUGUUCUAACGUUGACCCGUAAUCCGGGUUGCGGACAGUGUCUGGUGGGUAGUUUGACUGGGGCGGUCUCCUCCUAAAGAGUAACGGAGGAGCACGAAGGUUGGCUAAUCCUGGUCGGACAUCAGGAGGUUAGUGCAAUGGCAUAAGCCAGCUUGACUGCGAGCGUGACGGCGCGAGCAGGUGCGAAAGCAGGUCAUAGUGAUCCGGUGGUUCUGAAUGGAAGGGCCAUCGCUCAACGGAUAAAAGGUACUCCGGGGAUAACAGGCUGAUACCGCCCAAGAGUUCAUAUCGACGGCGGUGUUUGGCACCUCGAUGUCGGCUCAUCACAUCCUGGGGCUGAAGUAGGUCCCAAGGGUAUGGCUGUUCGCCAUUUAAAGUGGUACGCGAGCUGGGUUUAGAACGUCGUGAGACAGUUCGGUCCCUAUCUGCCGUGGGCGCUGGAGAACUGAGGGGGGCUGCUCCUAGUACGAGAGGACCGGAGUGGACGCAUCACUGGUGUUCGGGUUGUCAUGCCAAUGGCACUGCCCGGUAGCUAAAUGCGGAAGAGAUAAGUGCUGAAAGCAUCUAAGCACGAAACUUACCCCGAGAUGAGUUCUCCCUGACUCCUUGAGAGUCCUGAAGGAACGUUGAAGACGACGACGUUGAUAGGCCGGGUGUGUAAGCGCAGCGAUGCGUUGAGCUAACCGGUACUAAUGAACCGUGAGGCUUAACCUU
rnacentral:rRNA from 1 species